rnacentral:miRNA from 1 species
AGUUGUAUCAUCAAUGCAUCACA